UNUGACUUGAGUGCAGAAGGGGAGAGUGGAAUUCCAUGUGUAGCGGUGAAAUGCGUAGAUAUAUGGAGGAACACCAGUGGCGAAAGCGGCUCUCUGGUCUGUCACUGACGCUGAGGCUCGAAAGCGUGGGUAGCGAACAGGAUUAGAUACCCUGGUAGUNCACGCCGUAAACGAUGGGUGCUAGGUGUUAGGCCCUUUCCGGGGCUUAGUGCCGGAGCUAACGCAAUAAGCACUCCGCCUGGGGAGUACGACCGCAAGGUUGAAACUCAAAGGAAUUGACGGGGGCCCGCACAAGCGGUGGAGCAUGUGGUUUAAUUCGAAGCAACGCGAAGAACCUUACCAGGUCUUGACAUCCCGAUGCUAUUCUUAGAGAUAGGAAGUUACUUCGGUACAUCGGAGACAGGUGGUGCAUGGUUGUCGUCAGCUCGUGUCGUGAGAUGUUGGGUUAAGUCCCGCAACGAGCGCAACCCUUAUUGUUAGUUGCCAUCAUUAAGUUGGGCACUCUAGCGAGACUGCCGGUAAUAAACCGGAGGAAGGUGGGGAUGACGUCAAAUCAUCAUGCCCCUUAUGACCUGGGCUACACACGUGCUACAAUGGUCGGUACAACGAGUUGCGAGCCGGUGACGGCAAGCUAAUCUCUGAAAGCCGAUCUCAGUUCGGAUUGGAGGCUGCAACUCGCCUCCAUGAAGUCGGAAUCGCUAGUAAUCGCGGAUCAGCACGCCGCGGUGAAUACGUUCCCGGGCCUUGUACACACCGCCCGUCACACCACGAGAGUUUGUAACACCCGAAGUCGGUGAGGUAACCUUUUA
rnacentral:rRNA from 1 species